AACGAACGCUGGCGGCAUGCCUAACACAUGCAAGUCGAACGACACCUUCGGGUCUAGUGGCGCACGGGUGCGUAACGCGUGGGAACCUGCCCUUAGGUUCGGAAUACCUCCCCGACAGGGGUUCUAAUACCGUAUAAUGUCUUCGGAUAAAAGAUUUAUCGCCUUUGGAUGGGCCCGCGUUGGAUUAGCUAGUUGGUAGGGUAAAAGCCUACCAAGGCGACGAUCAAUAGCUGGUCUGAGAGGAUGAUCAGCCACACUGGGACUGAGACACGGCCCAGACUCCUACGGGAGGCAGCAGUGGGGAAUAUUGGACAAUGGGCGAAAGCCUGAUCCAGCAAUGCCGGGUGAGUGAUGAAGGCCUUAGGGUUGUAAAGCUCUUUUACACGGGAUGAUAAUGACAGUACAGGGAGAAUAAGCUCCGGCUAACUCCGU
rnacentral:rRNA from 1 species